rnacentral:rRNA from 1 species
GACGAACGCUGGCGGCGUGCUUAACACAUGCAAGUCGAACGGUGAAGCGCCUUCCUUUUUGGUGGGUGUGGAUGAGUGGCGAACGGGUGAGUAACACGUGAGUAACCUGCCCCCUUCUUCUGGAUAACCGCAUGAAAGUGUGGCUAAUACGGGAUAUUCUGGGUCUGUCGCAUGAUGGGUCUGGGAAAGAUAUUGUUUCGGUGGGGGAUGGGCUCGCGGCCUAUCAGCUUGUUGGUGGGGUGAUGGCCUACCAAGGCGGUGACGGGUAGCCGGCCUGAGAGGGUGGACGGACACACUGGGAAUGAGACACGGCCAAGAAUCCUACGGGAGGCAGCAGGGGGGAAUAGUGCACAAGGGGCGCAAGCCUGAUGCAGCGACGCCGGGUGAGGGAUGGAGGCCUUCGGGUUGUGAACCUCUUUCGCCAGUGAAGCAGGCCUGCCUCGUUUGUGGGUGGGUUGACGGUAGCUGGAUAAGAAGCGCCGGCUAACUACGUG